UGGGGAAUUUUGGACAAUGGGCGAAAGCCUGAUCCAGCAAUGCCGCGUGUGUGAAGAAGGCCUUCGGGUUGUAAAGCACUUUUGUCCGGAAAGAAAUCCUUGGCUCUAAUACAGUCGGGGGAUGACGGUACCGGAAGAAUAAGCACCGGCUAACUACGUGCCAGCAGCCGCGGUAAUACGUAGGGUGCAAGCGUUAAUCGGAAUUACUGGGCGUAAAGCGUGCGCAGGCGGUUUGCUAAGACCGAUGUGAAAUCCCCGGGCUCAACCUGGGAACUGCAUUGGUGACUGGCAGGCUAGAGUAUGGCAGAGGGGGGUAGAAUUCCACGUGUAGCAGUGAAAUGCGUAGAGAUGUGGAGGAAUACCGAUGGCGAAGGCAGCCCCCUGGGCAAUACUGACGCUCAUGCACGAAAGCGUGGGGAGCAAACAGGAUUAGAUACCCUGGUAGUCCACGCCCUAAACGAUGUCAACUAGUUGUUGGGGAUCCAUUUCCUAGUAACGUAGCUAACGCGUGAAGUUGACCGCCUGGGGAGUACGGUCGCAAGAUUAAAACUCAAAUGAAUUGACGGGGUCAUAGCUG
rnacentral:rRNA from 1 species